rnacentral:rRNA from 1 species
UACAGAGGUCCCAAGCGUUGUUCGGAUUCACUGGGCGUAAAGGGUGCGUAGGUGGUCGGGUAAGUCUGAUGUGAAAUCUCGGAGCUCAACUCCGAAACUGCAUUGGAUACUAUCCGGCUUGAGGAGUGGAGGGGGGACUGGAAUUCUCGGUGUAGCAGUGAAAUGCGUAGAUAUCGAGAGGAACACCAGUGGCGAAGGCGAGUCCCUGGACACUUCCUGACACUGAGGCACGAAAGCUAGGGGAGCAAACAGG